AUUGAACGCUGGUGGCAGGCUUAACACAUGCAAGUCGAGCGAGCGGCGGACGUGUGAGUCAUGUCUGGGAAACUGCCUGAUGGAGGGGGAUAACUACUGGAAACGGUAGUUAAUACCGCAUACCAUCAGAUGUGCCCAGAUGGGAUUAGCUAGUAGGUGGGGUAAUGGCUCACCUAGGAGACGAUCCAUAGCUGGUCUGAGAGGAUGAACAGCCACACUGGAACUGAGACACGGUCCAGACUCCUACGGGAGGCAGCAGUGGGGAAUAUUGCACAAUGGGCGCAAGCCUGAUGCAGCCAUGCCGCGUGUGUGAAGAAGGCCUUCGGGUUGUAAAGCACUUUCAGCGGGGAGGCGUUACUCGCAGAAGAAGCACCGGCUAACUCCGUGCCAGCAGCCGCGGUAAUAC
rnacentral:rRNA from 1 species